rnacentral:rRNA from 1 species
UACGUAGGGUGCAAGCGUUAAUCGGAAUUACUGGGCGUAAAGCGUGCGCAGGCGGUUUUGUAAGUCUGACGUGAAAUCCCCGGGCUCAACCUGGGAAUUGCAUUUGAAACUGGGGAACUAGAGUGUGUGAGAGGGGGGUAGAAUUCCAAGUGUAGCAGUGAAAUGCGUAGAGAUGUGGAGGAACACCGAUGGCGAAGGCAGCCCCCUGGGUCAAGAUUGACGCUCAUGCACGAAAGCGUGGGGAGCAAACAGG